UUGACCUCGGAUCAGGCAGGGAUACCCGCUGAACUUAAGCAUAUCAAUAAGCGGAGGAAAAGAAACCAACAGGGAUUGCCUCAGUAACGGCGAGUGAAGCGGCAACAGCUCAAAUUUGAAAUCUGGCUCUUUUAGGGUCCGAGUUGUAAUUUGUAGAGGAUGCUUCGGCGUCGGCUCCGGUCUAAGUUCCUUGGAACAGGACGUCAUAGAGGGUGAGAAUCCCGUAUGUGAUCGGUUGCCCUUGCCAUGUGAAGCUCCUUCGACGAGUCGAGUUGUUUGGGAAUGCAGCUCUAAAUGGGAGGUAAAUUUCUUCUAAAGCUAAAUACUGGCCAGAGACCGAU
rnacentral:rRNA from 1 species